AACAUUAAGACUGAGACCUCCAA
rnacentral:piRNA from 1 species